GCACGGACUGCUGGGCAGACACCAGCAGCCUGGAGAAGGUCUGCCUCUGUCAGAGGUUUCUUAGUAAGAAUCCCUAAUGACAGGCCCACUUUUCGGUGGGGGGGAAAUCUGUCUACUCUCUUGAUGAAGGACAGGACUUUGAUCCUUUCCACUGAGCCUUGACUUGGUCUGAGGUUUUAGGUUCCCAGUCCUGAAGUUAGCUGGCUCUCUCCCUCCCUCCCUCCCUUCCUCCCCUCUCUCCCUCUCCCUCUCCCUCUCUCUCUCUCUCUCUCUCUCUCUCUCUCUCUCUCUCUCUCUCUCUCUCUCUCUCUCUCUCUCUCUCUCUCUCUCUCUCUCUCUCUCUCUCUCUCUCUCUCUCUCUCACACACACACACACACACACACACACACACAAUAUCUUACUUCCAAUCCACUCCCCCUCACUGCUGUACGCAGGGCAGAUUAGUAUCACAGCUGUAACUGAGUCAAGGAAGCCGUAAACACAGCAGACCCAGUCUCCAUGGUGGCAGGAGGGGGCACUGGAGGUGACAACAAUGGAGAAGGACCUUUCUUCUGACAAGUUUUAGAUACUCUGGACUGAUUGAACACUGUCUUGACUCUUCUAUAAUGACUACAGCAAGAGCAGAAUGGCUUCAGGGAACACAUUCAGCCAAACCCCCCCAAAAGGCUUCCCUGGGGUGAAACAAAUGCCUUUGAGAUUUAACUCAGGUGGAAUGGGUGCUUCAUUAGGUGCUGGGAAAAAAUCUACCAAUAGGCACCAAGGAUUGAAUCCCCUGGAACCACAUACAGUUGGCAGCAAAAUUUUGUCACAGAUCCAGUUGAGAAAGAAAGCACAUUCCCCGACAGGAAAAUAUAAAUCAUGUAUGAAAUCAGCUAAAGAACAUUUUGGAUAUCAUUCAGCAGAUUAUAUUCUUUGUCUUGUUCCAUUUCUCUUCAAGUUGACAGCUAAAGAGCAGUCUUAGAGCAUGAAGGCAGCCCAGUGCCAUUUUCUUGGGGCCACCAACCGAGAGUUAAGCUACCUAACAUUUCGAAAACCCAGC
rnacentral:lncRNA from 1 species